UAGUAGCGGACGGGUGAGUAAUGCAUGAGAAGCUGCCAUUGGGAGGGGGACAACAGUUGGAAACGGCUGCUAAUACCCCGUAUGCCGAAAGGUAAAAGGGAGCAAUCCGCCUGAUGAGGUGCUCAUGUCCUAUCAGCUGGUUGGUGGGGUAACGGCCUACCAAGGCGACGACGGGUAGCCGGCCUGAGAGGGUGAACGGCCACACUGGAACUGAGAUUUUUUUUAUACUCCUACGGGAGGCAGCAGUGGGGAAUAUUGGGCAAUGGGG
rnacentral:rRNA from 1 species